GCUGCCCCCUUUCUUCUUUCCUAAUACAUGCAAGUCGAGCGAACAGACGAGGAGCUUGCUCCUCUGACGUUAGCGGCGGACGGGUGAGUAACACGUGGAUAACCUACCUAUAAGACUGGGAUAACUUCGGGAAACCGGAGCUAAUACCGGAUAAUAUAUUGAACCGCAUGGUUCAAUAGUGAAAGACGGUUUUGCUGUCACUUAUAGAUGGAUCCGCGCCGCAUUAGCUAGUUGGUAAGGUAACGGCUUACCAAGGCAACGAUGCGUAGCCGACCUGAGAGGGUGAUCGGCCACACUGGAACUGAGACACGGUCCAGACUCCUACGGGAGGCAGCAGUAGGGAAUCUUCCGCAAUGGGCGAAAGCCUGACGGAGCAACGCCGCGUGAGUGAUGAAGGUCUUCGGAUCGUAAAACUCUGUUAUUAGGGAAGAACAAAUGUGUAAGUAACUAUGCACGUCUUGACGGUACCUAAUCAGAAAGCCACGGCUAACUACGUG
rnacentral:rRNA from 1 species